UUGACGAUAGAAGGAGGACUGGAGGCGAGCAUAAGAUUGAGGAUCGAUGACUAGGUCAUAUGGGACUCUGACACUUUCAGAAAGUUUGUUCGUCAGUCAAAGAUUUAAUCCAAGGUGAUUUUAACACCGGAGGCUAAGCUAAAGGUACAAACACAGGCCUCUGUUUUUAAGACUGGAGGGUAAGCUAAAGGUACAAACACAGGCCUCUGCUUUUAACACCGGAGGCUAAGCUAAAGGUACAAACACAGGUCUCUGCUUUUAACGCCGGAGGCUAAGCUAAAGGUACAAACACAGGCCUCUGUUUUUAACACCGGAGGCUAAACUAAAGGUACAAACACAGGCCUCUGUUUUUAACACCGGAGGCUAAGCUAAAGGUACAAACACAGGUCUCUGUUUUUAACACCGGAGGCUAAGCUAAAGGUACAAACACAGGUCUCUGCUUUUAACGCCGGAGGCUAAGCUAAAGGUACAAACACAGGCCUUUGUUUUUAACACCGGAGGCUAAGCUAAAGGUACAAACACAGGCCUCUGUUUUUAAGACUGGAGGGUAAGCUAAGGGUACAAACACAGGCCUCUGUUUUUAAGACUGGAGGGUAAGCUAAGGGUACAAACACAGGCCUCUGUUUUUAAGACUGGAGGGUAAGCUAAGGGUACAAACACAGGCCUCUGCUUUUAAGACAGGAGGGUAAGCUAAGGGUACAAACACAGGCCUCUGCUUUUAAGACUGGAGGGUAAGCUAAGGGUACAAACACAGGCAUCUGUUUUUAAGACCGGAGGUUAAGCUAAAGGUACAAACACAGGCCUCUCCUAGGUAUUAGCCAGGCCACCAUGCAUUAUGGUUUAAAUACCUCAUUUGACAAGGGUUUGUGUUCGGGGAGUGUUUCAGGAGUG